UACAGAGGUCCCAAGCGUUUGUUCGGAUUCACUGGGCGUAAAGGGUGCGCAGGUGGGCUGACAAGUUUGAUGUGAAAGCCCCGGGCUUAACCCGGGAAUGGCAUUGAAUACUGUCGGUCUGGGAGGAUUGGAGGGGGGACUGGAAUUCUUGGUGUAGCAGUGAAAUGCGUAGAUAUCAAGAGGAACACCAGUGGCGAAGGCGAGUCCCUGGACAAUUCCUGACACUGAGGCACGAAAGCCAAGGGAGCAAACAGGG
rnacentral:rRNA from 1 species